UACGUAGGUGGCAAGCGUUGUCCGGAUUUACUGGGCGUAAAGAGCGCGCAGGCGUCGUGCAAGUCGCGUGUGAAAGCCCCCGGCUCAACUGGGGAGGGUCACGCGAUACUGCUCGACUGGAAGGCAGGAGAGGGAAGCAGAAUUCCCGGUGUAGUGGUGAAAUGCGCAGAUAUCAGGAGGAACACCAAUGGCGAAGGCAGCACUCUGGGGACGUGACUGACGCUGAGACGCGAAAAGCGUGGGGGAGCAAAACAGG
rnacentral:rRNA from 1 species